rnacentral:lncRNA from 1 species
GUGUGACUGUAAAAAGAAAAAAAAAAAGAUUAAUAACCUUUCUACUACUUUAUUACUGAAGUGGAUCUUGAGAAACAUGGUGAUAAUGGUAACAGCCUAAUGUUAGGAGAAUAAUUCUCUUUUAAAAAUUAAUCAAAAGCAAGAAAGACCUGAAGUUACUCUCACAUAUUGACAUUGCUAUAAUACUUUCUUAAAUAGGAGAGAAAAAUGAUGGCAAUAUAACUAACAUGUACAUUAAUAGAUACAUUAAUGAAAUUUAUUUUUCAUAGAUAACAAAUAUCUACCAUUAUUUGUUUUAUGCUAGAAAAAGAUAAAAAAUGGUGUCUAUAUCUAAGUAAUAAGAUAAAUGUGGCUUGUUCUGAGUCUUUUAAGGCUGAAACCCCCAUCCCAAUAAUGACUACUGGCUCAGCCUUCCUCAGAGUAAUAUUACAGGCAAUAUACUAAUAAUGCCCCAGGCUCCACUCAACCUGAACCAGCAUUAUUAGUAUACACUGACACUUACACCAUGCUCAACUCACACACUUAGAGUCACAGCCUCAGCCAAUCCUGGAGUUUUCUCACAUUCCUGGCUCUCAGUUUCCCAACACAUUUCAUUUUGCCACCCAACCCCAAUACCAGCUUGUAUAUCAAUUUCCUUCCCUAAUUACUUUGCCCUUUAGAAUGAACUUUUAUUCUUUUAAAAAUAAUUCUUUCAGCAUUUGGAAAGAAUAGCAUGGCAUAUGCUUUAUGGUUUAAGGGAUUUAUAAGCAAUAAAAUUUACUUUUUAAAACACAUCGCAAGAACCGUGUGAGCAUUUAGUUACCUCAUCUCCUCGGCCAUGUGGAGAAAGCCCAAGAUAAAUGCCACUUUUAUCAUUUAAUAUGAAUGCUCACAUAUGUUCUAAAUAAAUGCCAGAAGUCAGAUAUUAGUUAUUUUUUAAAGGAUAACUGAUAUUUAGUUUCAGGAGCUAAGAACCAAUGCCUAGCUGUCACAAAAAUUUGACUCGUAAUUCAAGGAUUACUGUUCCUAAAACAAUGAGUUGUCAAGUUCUAGAUAGUUUUUGCCAAGACUCUAAUUAUCCCAUGUUUAGGAAAGAUGAUUUCUUUCAAUUCCAUGAAGAAACAAAGUUUCUCAAGACAAGACUCAAACACAUUCCAGGAUAGUGAUUCACAUUCAAUUGGAAAUAUGAUAUUUAACAAGAGCUAGUCUCAAUGUUAAUAAAUUGGCUAACCUAGAAAAAAAUGAAGAAAUUCUUAGAAACAUACAACCUACCAAGACUGAAUCAUGAAGAGACAGAAAACCUGAACAGACCAAUAAUAAGUAAGGGUAUUGAAUCAGUAAUCAAAACCCUCCCCUCAAAGAAAAUCUCAGCACAGAUGGUUUCACUGGUGAAUUCUAGUCAACAUUUAAAGAAGAAUUAAUGCCAGUCUUUCUCAAACAUCAUCAGUCAUCAUCAGGGAAAUGCACAUCAAGCCUGCAGUGUAGUAUCACUUCACAUAUCACUUUGGUGAUAGGAGGACAUCAUCAAAAAGACAAGAGAUAACAAGUGUUCAUCAUGGCCUUGCCCCAUAUACCUGGGUUAGGAAAAGACCUGGCAGAAUCAAGUCAAUCAAUAUAUAUAUUUAAAUAAAAAGAAAGAUUGGAGAUGGUAGAUAGGGAGAGAGAUUUGGUAAUGAUUCUUGGGAGUUUUCCCUAACUACACUAAUUCAGAGAGUUUAAUUUUUUUCUAUGAUUCCCUGAAACAUUUCUGUACAUAUGAAUUCCAUUUUUUCCCUUUCACAUACCAUAUCAUACACCUCUCUAUUCUUGGAUAUAUACUUUCCUAGGACCUACAACUUAAAUUUACAUUUAGGAAGUGAUUGACAUAUGUUCAUAAUGUAGAUUAAGAAAAAUAAUAAAUUUAUUGAGGUGCGCUUAUUUCAAAAGGGUCCUAAGAAGUUAUUUCAUACCUACUUCAUCCAAACUUCUGUGUUUGUGCAUGCAUAGAACACUGAUGCUCCUAUUGGUGCACCUGAUAGGGGUUUGCCAAGAACACAGAAAGUAAAUAUUUAAGAGUUUGCAUAUUCACAGGUUUAAUGUUUUAAUGUAACUACCUCGCCAACUCUCUUUGUAUCAGAAUUUCAGUUUGGGGUUGGCAAGUUAUGGAUGUCUAAUUUUCCACUUCACAAUAAUGCUAAAGAUUUCUGUACUUUGGUACUGAAUAAAUUGAAGACAUUUGCAGAUUCCAAACUUAAUUUAACUAUGUGAAGAAGGUAAAAGAAGGAAAUGACUAUAUUAAAGGAGUUGGCAUAAGCAUGCUAUGUUUUUUCCUUCAAGAGAGCCACGUCUCUCUAUAAGGAGCUAAAGAAUUUGUUCAUAUCCAACUGGAUGUGAUAUCACAGAGCAGGUAGUAUGGACAAAUCUGAAUGCAAGUACCUUUCUUAUAUUAAAUUUAUUAAAGACUACUCAUGCUUUGAAAGUUAUUUUUUCUGAGAUUAUUAGUUUCUUCUUUAAUGUCUGUCUCUUUUAUCAUUUCUUAAAGAUGAAGUGAAAACUAUUUUCAAAAUAGUUCUUAUGCCUUCAUACCAGAAUACUUAUUGAAUAAAUCUCAUAGUGUCUCAUUCUUGGUGACAUUAUAAUUGUCUGACAUUUGAGAUGUACAUUUUUAUGUCACUGAGGAAGUCUCAGUGGGGAUAAUUAAUAGAAAAAUUAUUCCAUUUUAGUAAGAACGUUUUUUUCUUUCCUUUAGUUGAGGACUUUUUCUGAUUAAUAAUUCUCUCUGAACAAAAAUAUUUUUUAAUAUAAUCAUAGUUUUUUUUUCUUAUUUUUUUCACCCUAAGCAACUAAGAGACAGUGAUUAUGUUGACUGGAAUUUAAGGUCUGUUAUAAUUAUAUGCUUAACUGCUGUGAAUGACAAUAUAAACUCUAUUAUAGUGCUAAGGAAUUAUUUUCAGUCCUGAUAAAAUACUGCUCAUGUUAAUAUACCUGAUGCUUUACAAUUUGUUAACUGUCACAGUCUUCAUUUUUCUUCAGGUGUUGCUGUUGUGUUGCACUGUAAGUAUGGAGAUUCUCUUUGUCACUUGCUUGAUUAAAAUAAUGGAACACAUACAGUGAAAAGACUCUUCCAAUUCACUUCACUCAUUAGCAUAUCUUCCUUUUACAAGUAUAGUUCCUCCAGGAACUUCACAAAGAAUAUUAGUCUGUGUGUUUUCAGAGGUGAUUUACAAAACUCAUUAAAGAUAUGGAAAUUAUUUUAGAAACUAUCUAAAUUGAAUUUAGGAGUGGCGAUAAAUCCUAUAUGUGAUUCCAAGCAGUAUACAUAUCAUGUGAAGUAAAACUCUUUGGUAAAUAGAGAAAAAUAAGCCUGAUUUUAAAAAGCAGACAGCAUUUCAACUGUUUUUCAUCAUGUUUGUAAAUUUGGAUUCAGAAAACAUGAACAUCUUACUUGGAAAAGAGAAUGUGGAAAAGCGCAUGAGGUUUUCAGUUAGUGGACUAGUUGUAUGUAUAUAACUAUAUACAGAGGAGAGUAAAUCAUAUACAGCAAAGUGUGUAAUACAUGGUCCAUGGACCUCAUCUUUGAGAAAGUUCAAAUUAUUCUGCACUCUCAGAAUAAUUUUUUUGUCCUAAUGGCUGCACACGCAGUGUAUGGAAGUUCCCAGGCCAGGGAUUAAAUCUGAGCGGUAGCUGCAACCUACACCAUAGCUGUAGUAACACCAGAUCCUUUAAACCACUGUGCCAGGCCAGGGAUCAAACCCAUGUCUCCAGGGUGACCCAAACCACUGCAGUCAAAUUCUUAACCCACUGAACCAUGGUGGGAACUCCAGAAAUUUUUAAUAAUUCUCUCUAGAAAGAGAAUGUAAAAGUGUGAUCUUUGCAGAAUUAUAUUGAGAAUAUACCUUAGCAGUACAGGCUUCUUUAAGUGUGAUAGUCAUUGAGUAUGUUAAAGAAACACUAAAAAAAUAUGAAAGGCUUAUGCUUAAAUCACCGAAGCCUCCUGCAUUCUAGUUAAAACCUUAUUGUUCUGAAUACUCAAGAUUCAUAUUUUUGGUCAAUCCCAUGAAAACACUUGCUGAUAAAUACUUGGUUAUUUGUGUGAACACUUUUGUUCUUGAUUCCAAAGACAAUCUUUUUCAUUAUAAGUUGAAAAAAAUGUUUCCGUUAUGCAAGACAGACAACUUCUAGAGAUCCACUGUACAAUAUUGUUCCUAUUCUUAACAUUAUUUUAGGGUAUGCUUAAUCUUUGAGUGUAGAUCUCAUGUUAAGUGUUCUUAAUGCAAUUUUUAAAAUGUAAAAAAUACAUGUUUUCCAGGGACUUCCCUUCGUGGCUCAGUGGUUAACAAAUCCGACUAGGAACCAUGAGGUUGCGGGUUCAAUCCCUGGCCUUGCUCAGUGGGUUAAGGAUCUGGCCUUGCCGUGAGCUGUGGUGUAGUCAUUGCUUUGAUCUGAUUUGCAUGCAGCUUGAGCUUCCAUUUUCAUUCAUACAGUUAAACUUAAAUCACUUCCUCUUAUUCUUCUUGAAUAUGUUAAAAUAGAAGCAUCCCAGAAAACACUACCAUAGACUCCUCUUUUGUAAGCAUGUGCCUCCUGAGCAGAAUGAGUGUCUUAAAAACAUUUAUAUUUCAGGCCACCAGCGUAAUGCCCAGUUUGCUAUGGUAUUAAAAAAUAUGCUGACGUGAUAGUGGAGUACUUUUAAAAAUUAUUUUGUUAUAAAUUUGUUACAACAGAUGAAGUUCCAAGUUGAUAUCUUGUUUCUGAUGGUUCAGGCUUUUCCGGAGAAAUCCUCAUAGAUUUUCUUUCACCUCUCAAAUUAUCAUCCUUAGUCGGUAUUGAUUAAGUUUCUUUUUUAGCUGUUUCCUUGUACAUGCUGCACAAAGCAAGUGCAAUCCGUACAGUUUCUUCUCUUAAAGAGCCUUACACCUAAGAACACACCAAUGAUCACAUCUUAAGGGAUUCAGAGCAACACAUUUUUCAUCCCAGAGAAAGGAUAUCGUGAUGCUCAAGAGGGAGGACGGCAGAAGAUUGAAUGGGGGAUUCAUGGCCUCCCUGGCUUUGGGUCUUUAUAGAACUCCGCGAAAGUAAAUGUCUUUGUGAAGAGCCAGAGAAUAUAGUGUUGUUUGCUU